rnacentral:rRNA from 1 species
UACGUAGGGGGCAAGCGUUGUCCGGAUUUAUUGGGCGUAAAGAGUGCGUAGGCGGUUUUCUAAGCUUGGUGUGAAAUCUCCCGGCUUAACUGGGAGGGUGCGCCGAAGACUGGAAGGCUUGAGUAUGGGAGAGGUAAGCGGAAUUCCUGGUGUAGCGGUGAAAUGCGUAGAUAUCAGGAGGAACACCUGCGGUGUAGACGGCUUACUGGACCAUCACUGACGCUGAGGCACGAAAGCGUGGGUAGCAAACAGG